GAAAUUCGCUUCCACAACUCAAAUGAAAUUUUUUAUCAAUAAACUCUUUUAUUUUUUGUGUUUUGACUGGUUAUUUAUUUAAUUGAUGCUUUUCCGAUGAAGAUAACAACAACGAUGAUAUUGAUGAUGGCGGAAUGAUGCUUGAAAGAAAGAAUGAUGGAUUAUUUGAGAAAGGGGUGUAUCGAUGGUGGGAAAAGAAUGGCGGACGAGGG
rnacentral:lncRNA from 1 species